rnacentral:rRNA from 1 species
UGCGAAGGGUGCAAGCGUUACUCGGAAUUACUGGGCUUAAAGGGCGCGUAGGUGGCCAUCUAAGUCAGACGUGAAAUCCCCCGGCUUAACCUGGGAACUGCGUCUGAUACUGGUCGGCUAGAGUUUGGGAGAGGGAUGCAGAAUUCCAGGUGUAGCGGUGAAAUGCGUAGAUAUCUGGAGGAAUACCGGUGGCGAAGGCGGCAGCCUGGACCAACACUGACACUGAAUCGCGAAAGCUAGGGGAGCAAACGGG